CAUGCAUGUUACAUAUAAUAUUAUUAUUAAUUUGUCAUUAUAAAUAAAAAUCUAUUUUUAUACAUUGUGAUAUUAUUAUAUGAAAUACAUUCCACUUAACACGAUAAACGUUCUUUGGGAUCUGAGAAUUUAAUUAGUGGGCAAUUCUCAACUGUUACUAUUAUUAUCCCAUAAAUAUCCCCACAAUGUGUGUGUUUGCUAAACACGGGUAUUGAGGGUUUAGAACGGACUUAUUCCAUCUCCCCGGGUUAUCCAUUAUACAGCUCUUGGCAUAUCUCCUCAUUCCUAUCUAUAUAGAGUGCCUCUAUCUGCCGUACAGAAGAGGGUUAUAUGUUAUAGGGCCUCUUUUCUAGGAUAUGGAUGCAGAUGACGAUCAAUAUGUGGAGUUGG